rnacentral:rRNA from 1 species
AUGGCCGGCUCUGCGAUUGGGUUCGAGGGAUAUGAGAAGCGCCUGGAGAUCACUUUCUCUGAAGCGCCAGUCUUCACUGACCCCAAUGGCAGGGGAUUGCGUGCUCUCUCUCGUGCCCAGAUCGACUCGGUCCUUGAUCUUGCCAAGUGCACCAUUGUAUCUGAGCUCUCCAAUGAGAAGUUUGACUCGUAUGUCCUUUCUGAAUCAAGCCUCUUUGUGUAUCCGUACAAGGUUGUGAUCAAGACCUGCGGUACCACCAAGCUCCUGCUGGCCAUUCCAAGGGUUCUUGAGCUUGCUGAGGAGCUGUCCCUGCCACUUGCUGCUGUGAAGUACUCCCGUGGGACGUUCAUAUUCCCUGAAGCACAGCCUUCUCCACACAAGAACUUCUCUGACGAGGUUGCCUUCCUGAAUGGCUACUUUGGUGGACUCAAGUCUGGCGGCAAUGCCUAUGUCAUUGGUGAUCCUGCAAAGCCAGGCCAGAAGUGGCAUGUCUACUAUGCCACCCAGCAGCCUGAGCAGCCUGUGGUUAACCUUGAGAUGUGCAUGACUGGUCUGGACAAGAAGAAAGCUUCUGUCUUCUUCAAGACCUCUGCUGAUGGCCACACAUCUUGCGCCAAGGAGAUGACCAAGCUCUCUGGCAUCUCUGACAUAAUCCCAGAGAUGGAGAUCUGCGACUUUGAUUUCGAGCCAUGUGGCUACUCCAUGAACGCCAUCCAUGGCUCUGCUUUCUCCACCAUUCAUGUCACCCCCGAGGACGGCUUCAGCUAUGCUAGCUAUGAGGUCAUGGGGUUGGACCCUGCCUCCGUGGCCUAUGGUGACCUGGUCGAGAGGGUGCUGAGAUCCUUUGGCCCGUCUGAAUUCUCUGUUGCUGUGACCAUCUUUGGCGGCCCCAGCCUUGCUGGCACCUGGGGCGAGAGGCUGAAUGUUGGGGUCUAUGAUAGUACCAACAUGGUCGUCCAGGAGCUGCCUGGCGGGGGCUCGCUCAUCUACCAGAGCUUCACUGCUGUCGGUGAAGACUCCACUGGGUCGCCAAGAUCUGUCCUGAAUUGCUAUGUUGAUGGCAAUUUAGAGAGCGGCUCCAAGAUGGAUGCUUUCCUUUGCUGGGAAGACGAUGCUGCGCAGGAGAAGGAUGAGAGGGGGGCUGGUAAGAAGAUGAAGAGCUCUUGA